UUAGGGGUAGGAUUUUUUACGUUAAUGACCAACGGAACGGAAUGUGAACGCUGGUAGAAAGAGUAAUCUGCGUUUUAAAUCCGCAUUCACCAAA
rnacentral:ncRNA from 2 species